GUCGGCUUUUUCAGUUCAGUUAUCGCCCAAACUACACGGCUCUCAAAGUCUUAACUCUCUCUCUCUCGCUCUCUUCAGUUCGAAGUUGUCUCAAUGGAGGAAGAUAAGCAUGUUUUAUGUGAUAAUACAUCAGAUAUGGGUGAUGGCUGUUCAAUGCUUCUUGAGCUUUCUGACAAUGAGCCUUUCUUUGACAAAAAGAAGAGAUUACUCAAUGACCAGGGAUUUGGUGUCAAGGAAAUUGUACAUAUUAAGAGCUCUUUGGAUCCUGCUUCACUAAGUACUAUUUUGAAUCAAAUGCUGCAGAUAGCUAGAAUUAUACAUUUAGAUGAGGUAGAACUUUAUUUUGGUCAAAUUGAUGGAAUGGGAUUUUACAGCCCCAGGAAUGAGAUGGAGGCUCUAAAUUCGAUGCUUUCACUUAUCAACACCUCAUUUUCCUGUCAAGUACACAUGCAAACACAUGCCUUGCACGAUCUACAAGAUGCAAUUGUUAAUAGGAUCCAUGAGUUUGGAGCCAAGUAUAAAGUGGAGAAUAAAAUUGAUAAAAGCUACAAGUGUGAUAAAGAGAAGUGUUUAGUAGAGUGGGCUGAAAAUAAUGGUGUAAAAACAAGACUGCAGAUAGCUUAUAUUGAAGGAGCUGGUAGAGGAGCCAUUGCAAUGGAAGAUCUUGAAGUUGGAGACAUUGCUAUGGAGAUUCCUGCAUCUAUUAUAAUCUCUGAAGAUCUUGUACAUAAAUCUGACAUGUAUCAAACAUUAGAGAAGAUUGAUGGAAUGUCAUCUGAGACUAUGUUGUUGUUGUGGACCAUGAAGGAGAAGCACAAUUGUAAUUCACAAUUCAAGAUUUACUUUGAUACACUACCAGAAAAUUUUAACACAGGAUUGAGCUUCGGAGUUGAAGCAAUCAUGGCUUUGGAUGGAACUUUGCUCUUUGAAGAGAUAAUGCAAGCAAAAGAGGUUAUCAAGCUGUCCAAUACCCUCCUUUAUCGAGUCUACCUGACACAUUUACGUGUUCAAUAUGAUGAGGUAUUUCCUGCACUAUCCGAAGAUCAUCCUGAUAUAUUUCCACCAAAGCACUACACAUGGGAGCAAUUUUUAUGGGCUUGCGAACUCUGGUAUGCUAACAGUAUGAAAAUAAUGUUUGCUGAUGGAAAACUGAGGACUUGCUUGAUACCUGUUGCAGGCUUUCUCAAUCAUUCGUUACAUCCACACAUAGUUCACUAUGGCAAAGUAGAUUCUGCAACAAAUUCCUUGAAAUUUUCUCUAUCAAGCCCUUGCAGUGUUGGAGAACAAUGCUGUCUUAGUUAUGGAAGGUUCUCUGGUUCACAUCUAGUUACCUUUUAUGGCUUCUUACCACAAGGAGACAACCUUUAUGAUGUGAUUCCAUUGGAUUUUGAUGUUGACUCCAUUGAUGAUUGCCCCUUGUCGAACUGGACCACCCACAUGGUCCGGGGAACUUGGCUGUCAAACAAUCAAAGUAUCUUCUAUUAUGGCUUACCAUCUCCAUUAUUAGACUUUCUACGAAGAGCUCAUAGCCCUAUGCCAUCAACUAAGACCCUUAUUCAAGCAAACCUCGAAGUUGAUAAACAAGUUCUUGAAGAUCUACAGUCCACAUUCAAUGACAUGCUGGAAAAUUUAGGCGACACAGAUUUGGUUGAUAGAAAAAAUGCCAGUUGGGAUGUGAAGUUGGCAUUGGAAUUUAAAGAGAUACAGAGGAGGAUUUUCUCCUCGAUUAUAACUUCAUGUUCAACAGGUGUUAAGCUGGUGGAAUAUGAACUGUCUAAAUGCAAGGCUGAGGAGUAAGGACAAGGUAUGGCCAGAUGAGCUAGCCGUUACUUCAAUGCCCAUAGUUGAUCUCUACAAUGUAUUCAUCAUAAAGGCUACCAUGAUGCUGAUUGUUGACUGUUGCUUUUGUGGCGCAUGGUCAUCAGCAUGACAUUUUUUUAUUUUUUAUUUUUACAAAAUCUUGUUAAUAGCCGCACUCACAGGGUCAAUGACCUGUCAGCAUCUGACACUGUCAUUGAAUUUUGAUAGUAUAAGCAGCAUGAAACCAUGGACUCUGACAUAAAUAAUGGGUAUAAUUUUAUUAUCAAUGGUAUUACGAGAGUUUUUAUAUUAUCAUAAAAAUAUGUUGAUUGUCCUGGAUGAUAUAUAUAAGCUGAUUGUUGGGAUGGAACAAGAGAAUAAAGGCAUAAUAGCCUUGAGAAAAGCAUGGUGCACAUUGCUUUUGCUUGUUUGGUCAAUUACUGUUUUAACCACUUGCUAAAGUGGGAUGAAGGAAGGGUUUAUAUUGGGACAAGAUUUGUGGCUGCCAAAAUUUGACUUGUGGCAUUGUUGGCUUUAUUCUACUCCAAAAUAGCACCAUAUACUAAAGCAAUAUCAUAUCUUCAAGUCAUCGGUGCCUACAAACGCCUGUUGGCUAUCAAGAUCCCAACAGUAUCAGUAAUGGAGCACGAAUCUGAUACAACUUCAACGUGGAAAAUCUGAAAGUGCAAGGAGGAAGGGUUACUUAUUAUGGCCCGUGAAUGCUAAGGAAUUAAGUAACAUUACUUGUUGUUUUUGGCAGUAGGAGAGUGUAGGGUAAUUAUAAAUCUUCGUUUGCAUGUAAAAAUUAUAAAUGCAGGGGCUGUCCCAAAGGGAAGCACAUCAAUUU